GGUAAGGUUACAGAGGGAAAACAAGGCCUUACGCUGGAUUGCCCCUGCAAAGGGGAAUAACUUUUGAAAAAUUUAAUGUGAAAGUCGUUUAUUUUUUUUUUUUUCAUAUGUUUUUUUUUAACCUCAAGGACAAAAAGUAUACACUUGGAACACAAACAAAAACAGAUGAGUCCAUGCCAAGCUAAAGAUUAAUGCAGAAGAUAAAAGAGAACUGGAGAAGAAUGAAUUGAUGUUAACAUACUCAACAUUAAAUUUGGCUUAAAUCUAAA